AUGGAGACAGUCGUUGUUGCUGUUAUAUGUGGUUUAUAAUUUUACAUAUUAUAAUUAAAUAUUGUACAUACCAUGAGUAAUUAUGAAAUUAAAAUUAUUGUAACAUUUUUUACGCUUAUUAAAUGGAAAUAUGUUAUAUGUACAAACGUUUGCAGUCUACGCCCAGCUGUAAAUUUUAAUUUGAGUAAAGAGGGUUUUCAUAGGGAACUUGGUUUCUCUGUGAAGAUAAUAGUUGACCAACAUAGCAUUUUGAAUAAUUGCCAGGUGGUUUUUGAACAAACAAUUCCUUCAGGAUGUUUUGUUAAUCCUGAUGAACUAGCAGAUUUGAGACGAAUGAAAAAGGUGAUGGCGUGUCCUUCGGGGUUUGUCGACGUAGAAGCUCCGGAACAUGAAUCCGCACCUCACAAAGUCCACGUUCACGCUGACUUGCAGCGUGCGGGCAACACCCUCACGGCUGCUGCCAAACUCCCUGUUCACCUGCGCUACCACGAGGCUACGGUCGGUGGCAGUGCGGCCACGGCUGUCUUAGGACCACCUGCGCUAUUGCUGAGGUGCAACUCCAGUGCAGAGUGCAGCCAAACCAGCAAGGCACCUUGUGGGCCGUGCCACCGGGAGAUGUGUGAUUGGAUCAGUGUUCCUUACCAAAGUAUCCCACUAUUUUCAGGAGCAUAUGCAGAAUUUCAUUUUGGAGAGGACUAUAACCAUUUUGCACACUGUUUGCUGCUGUUGGUGAGAAGAUACACAUCUUUACAGAUAUUAGGUUACCAAAAACAUCUUGAUAUCAGUUCCUGUUGGCAAUCUGAACCAUGCCAAUUUUGUAACUGUGACAACACUGUUCGUUACCAUUGCAAGUGCAGUGUGGGUAUGUAAGGCUGUUAUUGGUGCUACCACAGAACUGUCAUCACGAAAGAAGAAAUAAUGUAGAAGUAUUGGAAGUUUGUAUGUAACUUAAACAAAUUGGUUGUCUGUAAAGUCUGUUUACAGAUGAUAGUUUAACGUGAUCUCAUAACAAAACAUUGAUGAAAUGAUUGUAUACUUUAAUGAAUAAAAUUAAAUCAUGUUUAUUGAAUUAUCAUUAUUUUGUAUGGAUACAAAGAAGGAGUGAAAUGAAAUCUACAAUUUAAUUGAUAAAUUUACUUUUAUUUGCACUCAUUAAUUCAAAUACCGUAUUUACUCGCAUAUAAGUCGCCAUCGCAGAUAGGUCGCACCCAUAAUUUGAGGUCUUGAAUUUGGUAUUUAAGAUUCCCCCCAUAUAGGUCGCACCGGUAAUUCAUUACUGCGCCGUGCGCCGUGCGUGGAGAAAGGUCAUUGUACUCGAUCAGCUGCUGUUACGGCGCGCCUGCUGACUCUCUUUGUUCACUGAGCUGCGCAUGCGCAGUAUAACUCACUCAACACUCCGCCCAGACUCGUGACCUUGCAUCAGCAGCCAGCCAAUAGAUGAGAGCUUAGCAGAAAAAAAUAUAAGCUCCACCUCCCAUGUACCAAUUUUGUCCAGUUCUAAUACCUGUUUAUUGGUAUACGCACCAGUUUUCUCACUGCCGUGACAUGUUCAAGUUUACGUCCAUCUUGAUGUCUUGAUACCAAUAAUUAAUUAAUUACGAUCACCAGAAAUAAAUUGUUAGUUUAAAAAAUAUGCGUCAACUGUACAAUACUUCCGAAAUUAUAAAAUACGUACAAAACAGUUACCAAGACUCCGCUCAUUUUAUCUUGUGAAAUUUGUCUCGUACCAGUAUUCCGGCUAAGUUGUGACAUAAAUACAGUAUCAGAAAUUAACAAUCAGCCACGUUCAUACAUUCGUGUGUUUACCUUUUUCCCUCGUGCAUUUUAGAUUGUCUCCUGCUAUAAUUACUCAGACUUUUACACGCCUAGGCUGAAAUUAUUACAUGUUUAGAAAUAAAAGCAACUUUUCAUGUUAUAAAAUAUGUAUAUUUUGCGAUUUAAAAUGUUCAUUGCCGACUAUAAACGUUACGUUUUUCACGAUGUUUUUAGGCCUACUAGCUAAUCUUAUAUACUCUAAAAGUACCCACGGUAUUUUCUGGUUGUUUAUGGUUGGUACGUGACGUAAAUAGCGGGAUGGAUUCGAUUUUUGAGUCGUAAUUUGCAUGAAAGUGUUGUAUUGGACUAAAUGGGAACUAAACAGGACCUGAAGAAUAUAGUGCAAAUAACGGGAAAACGUAAAUAACGGUAACGUAAAUAAGGGGUUUCGCUGUAUGUGUACAUUGUAAAUAAAUUUGCCUAUACCUAUAUAAACUUCUUUUUCGCAUUUUAAAGCAAAAUAUUGCAAAAAAAAUUCCUAAAAAAUUUUUCUUCACAUAUAGGUCGCACUUCAUUUUUUCCCCAUCAAAUCUGGUAAAAUUGCCGCGACCUAUAUGCGAGUAAAUACGGUAUGUUUAUUACUUUAACAAAGAGAUUAUUUUAACUAUAACUUUUAUACAUGUUUGCUAUUUAACUUCUUCCAAUCUGUGUUAUUCUGUUAAGGAUAGGACAAUGAUAGGAAAAGUAGGAAACAAAUGGGAAUGUUUCAAGUAUAAUGUGCCUCGAAAAAUUCAAAUCGAUGGUUGUUCCAAUCGAGUGGAAGAGAGAUAGAUGCGGCGCAAGCAUACAAUGAGCGUAACGGGACACAGCCUAACGGGACAAUGUGCGUUACGGGACACUUUUUCGUGCGUGCAGCCGGCGUUUAUCGAUUUAUUAGACGUCACGUCAAAAAUAAUCUCCAUGUACCUGAAGACUUUUUUUUUUUAAAUUGAGGAUGUGUCAGAAUGCAGUCCCUAGUUCAAAGAAUUCACUGUAGGAGCUCCAGAGCAGGUAGAGAGGUGGAACAGGUGCCGUUCGGUCGGAGUAACUACACUGUUUUCAGUAGUCACCAUGCGGUGGACAGUUCAGCAACAGGGCUUUGUUUUGGAGACCUUUUUUAAAAACAGGGAAAGUUUUUUGGCGACGCAGGGGUUUUCACAGACAACUCAAUUUCAAUCAUAUUGACAGUGUUCCUGACCCUAAAACCAUCGGAAAUGGAUCAGUAAUAUAAAGGAUGAUGGA